GUUGAUAAGGUUAAGUGAAUAAGGGCGCACGGUGGAUGCCUUGGCACUAGGAGCCGAUGAAGGACGGGACUAACACCGAUAUGCUUUGGGGAGCUGUACGUAAGCUAUGAUCCAGAGAUUUCCGAAUGGGGGAACCCAGCAUCUUUAAUAGGAUGUUACGAUUGUGUGAAUACAUAGCACAUUCGAGGUAGACGCAGAGAACUGAAACAUCUAAGUACCUGCAGGAAGAGAAAGAAAAUUCGAUUCCCUGAGUAGCGGCGAGCGAAACGGGAAAAGCCCAAACCAACAAGCUUGCUUGUUGGGGUUGUAGGACUCCAAUAUGGUCGUUCUUUCAGAUAGUCGAAUGACUUGGAAAAGUCAGUCAAAGAGGGUAAAAACCCCGUAGACGAAAUGUGGAAGACACCUAGGAGGAUCCUGAGUACGGCGGAACACGAGAAAUUCCGUCGGAAUCCGGGAGGACCAUCUCCCAAGGCUAAAUACUCCCUAGUGACCGAUAGUGAACCAGUACCGUGAGGGAAAGGUGAAAAGCACCCCGGAAGGGGAGUGAAAUAGAACCUGAAACCGUGUGCCUACAACAAGUCAAAGCCCGUUAAUGGGUGAUGGCGUGCCUUUUGUAGAAUGAACCGGCGAGUUACGAUUGCAUGCGAGGUUAAGUUGAAGAGACGGAGCCGCAGCGAAAGCGAGUCUGAAUAGGGCGUUUGAGUAUGUAGUCGUAGACCCGAAACCAUGUGAUCUACCCAUGUCCAGGUUGAAGGUGCGGUAAAACGCACUGGAGGACCGAACCCACGUACGUUGAAAAGUGCGGGGAUGAGGUGUGGGUAGCGGAGAAAUUCCAAACGAACUUGGAGAUAGCUGGUUCUCUCCGAAAUAGCUUUAGGGCUAGCCUCGGAAUUGAGAAUGAUGGAGGUAGAGCACUGUUUGGACUAGGGGCCCAUCUCGGGUUACCGAAUUCAGAUAAACUCCGAAUGCCAUUCAUUCAUAUCCGGGAGUCAGACUGUGAGUGAUAAGAUCCAUAGUCGAAAGGGAAACAGCCCAGACCACCAGCUAAGGUCCCAAAAUAUAUGUUAAGUGGAAAAGGAUGUGGGGUUGCACAGACAACUAGGAUGUGGGCUUAGAAGCAGCCACCAUUUAAAGAG
rnacentral:rRNA from 1 species